ACCCCCUAUGAUGAGGACCUUUUCACAGACCUGUACUGAUAUCUCUGUGAGGAUAAGUAACUCUGAGGAGGC
ensembl:snoRNA Gm25855 small nucleolar RNA SNORD25